GGCUCGGUAGCUUAGUUGGAAAAGCAUUUGACGAAUAAGAGUCGAGAGUUCAAAUCUCACUUGAGCUG
rnacentral:tRNA from 1 species